rnacentral:rRNA from 1 species
GCGAGUGAAGCGGCAAAAGCUCAAAUUUGAAACCCUCGGGAUUGUAAUUUGAAGAUUUGGCAUUGGAGAAAGCUAACCCAAGUUGCUUGGAAUAGUACGUCAUAGAGGGUGACAACCCCGUCUGGCUAACCGUCUUCUCCAUGUAUUGCCUUAUCAAAGAGUCGAGUUGUUUGGGAAUGCAAAGCUCAAAGUGGGGGUGGUAAACUCCAUCUAAAGCUAAAUACUGGUGAGAGACCGAUAGCGAACAAGUACUGUGAAGGAAAGGUGAAAAGAACUUUGAAAAGAGAGUGAAAUAGUAUGGGUGAAAUUGAAUUGAUAGGGGGAAGGAAAUGAGUGGAGAGUGGCCGAGGUUUCAGCCGCCCCUCGUGGGCGGUGUACUGCCGACGCCGAGUCAUCGAUAGCAGCUGAGACGAGGGUUACAAAUGGGAGCGCCUUCGGGCGUUCUCCCCUAACCCUCCACACUGCCACCGACGACAUAAUCCACCCAUUUCACCCGUCUUGAAACACGGACCA